UGUUCAGAGCCAAUGUUAUGUGUUCUCACGAAGCCUUUGGAUGUAAAGUUGCUUUCCUGCCUGUUUACAAUAGCAUCCGCACAAUAAUAACGUGCGGACAUCCGGAUAACAGAAUAUCUGUAUAUAUAUAUAUACAGAGUGUGAGAGAGAUCUAGGAAUUUUAUAUAUAUGAGGAACUUCUUAUAACAGGUAAACGAAUUUUAAAUAGCUACGCUGUGGGUGGGUUGAUUUUUUAAGUAGUUUGUAUCAGGAGGGUAGAAUCUGGUUAGUGAGGAUCAAGUCUAAAACUGGGACAUGGUUUGGCCUAUAUUUCAAAGGAUAGAAGAGAGACAUAUUGCACCUUACUUAGCACAGGAAGAGUCACUGAUGUUUGUUAGAUCUCACUGAAAGUGCUUGUAAGAUGGAACUCACAGAAAUGUAAGAAUAUAUGCAUUUCCUUUCUUAAAAGACAAGUUGGAAUGGGUUGCAGGUCUUAAUGAAUGAGGUGGUUUAUUCUUCUGUGGGUAGUAGCCUGGAAAAGAAGUGAGCUACCAUCUCACUUGAAUAAACCUACUUCCUAGUGAAGUCCUAAGGGUGGUACCUAUACUAUCAUGAACUAAGUAACGUACCCAAUCUGUCCUUGAAUUAGGAACUUGUAGCUUGCGCCUUGCUUUGGUUUCAAAGCAGUCAUCUACAUUUCUGGCCUUAAAUUUCACGCCGUGAGAGUGUGGUAUAAGCUUUUUCAUGUAGCUAGAUUGAGUUGGUGCCGCCGCCUUCUUGCUACUCUAUGUAUUGAGAGUUUUCCAAGGGUAAAGCCGGGGAGAGUGGACUUCCUGUGGGAGAAGGCCAGAUUCUAGGCCUUGCUUUGGGCCACAGUUUGUUGUUGGUUUUUUGACUGCAUUCAUUUCCUUCUGAAUAUAGAUUGGGGAGCUGAUAUUUCUGAGGAUUUUGAUUGUAGGUUGGCUGGUUUGUUUUCUGUUUCUGCCUGGUUGGUGUUGUUUUGUAAUUUUCUUUGGACUUGGUGUUUCUGUCUAUUAUAUGUGGCGGGUUAUUUCAUUUGCACCUCUGGUCGACUUUCAUUGCAUCCCCUUCUCUUCUUAAUAUCCUCUCUCUUUUCCUUAGAGAAAAAAAAAAAAA